rnacentral:rRNA from 1 species
GACGAACGCUGGCGGCGUGCUUAACACAUGCAAGUCGAACGGAAAGGCCCUGCUUUUGUGGGGUGCUCGAGUGGCGAACGGGUGAGUAACACGUGAGUAACCUGCCCUUGACUUUGGGAUAACUUCAGGAAACUGGGGCUAAUACCGGAUAGGAGCUCCUGCUGCAUGGUGGGGGUUGGAAAGUUUCGGCGGUUGGGGAUGGACUCGCGGCUUAUCAGCUUGUUGGUGGGGUAGUGGCUUACCAAGGCUUUGACGGGUAGCCGGCCUGAGAGGGUGACCGGCCACAUUGGGACUGAGAUACGGCCCAGACUCCUACGGGAGGCAGCAGUGGGGAAUAUUGCACAAUGGGCGGAAGCCUGAUGCAGCAACGCCGCGUGCGGGAUGACGGCCUUCGGGUUGUAAACCGCUUUCGCCUGUGACGAAGCGUGAGGGACGGGAAUGGGUAAAGAAGCAGCGGCGAACUACGU